UGGGGAAUAUUGCACAAUGGGCGCAAGCCUGAUGCAGCCAUGCCGCGUGUAUGAAGAAGGCCUUCGGGUUGUAAAGUACUUUCAGCGGGGAGGAAGGGAGUAAAGUUAAUACCUUUGCUCAUUGACGUUACCCGCAGAAGAAGCACCGGCUAACUCCGUGCCAGCAGCCGCGGUAAUACGGAGGGUGCAAGCGUUAAUCGGAAUUACUGGGCGUAAAGCGCACGCAGGCGGUUUGUUAAGUCAGAUGUGAAAUCCCCGGGCUCAAACUGGGAACUGCAUCUGAUACUGGCAAGCUUGAGGCUCGUAGAGGGGGGUAGAAUUCCAGGUGUAGCGGUGAAAUGCGUAGAGAUCUGGAGGAAUACCGGUGGCGAAGGUGGCCCCCUGGACGAAGACUGACGCUCAGGUGCGAAAGCGUGGGGAGCAAACAGG
rnacentral:rRNA from 1 species